rnacentral:rRNA from 1 species
GACGAACGCUGGCGGCGUGCCUAACACAUGCAAGUCGAACGAGUGGCGUAAGGGUGAGUAAGGUAUGGGAACCUGACCGGGGGAGGGGGAUAACUAAUGGACACGGUAGCUAAUAACGACUACCAUCGACUAUGCCCGAAUGGGAUUAGCGAGUAGGUGGGGUAAAGGCGCACCUAGGAGACGAUCCCUAGCGGGUCUGAGAGGAUGACCGGCCACACUGGAACUGAGACACGGUCCAGACUCCUACGGUAGGCAGCAGUGGGGAAUAUUGCACAAUGGGCGAAAGCCUGAUGCAGCCAUGCCGCGUGUAUGAAGAAGGCCUUCGGGUUGUAAAGUACUUUCAGUGAGGAGGCGUUACGCGCAGAAGAAGCACCGGCUAACUCCGUGCCAGCAGCCGCGGUAAUUC